GGGGCUUACUCACUUAAGUUCAAAAUGACACCUGAGGCAGAGAGGCUUUACUUGGAAGAAAUGAAGAUUAGGAAUGAAAUGGAGGAUUUGUUGGUUAUCAAGUUGAGGAAACUAUUGAUGAUGUCUUUGGACAAACGGAUUCUGUUGGAGAAGAUUGCACAUUUGAAGACUGACUUAGGGCUUCCGUUGGAAUUUCAGGAUACAAUCUGCAGGCGAUAUCCACAAUACUUCAAGGUAGUUCCAACUGGACGAGGGCCGGCUCUGGAGUUAACUCACUGGGACCCUGAGCUUGCUGUGUCUGCUGCGCAGAUUGCAGAAGAGGAAAAUAGGCAAAGAGAGUUGGAAGAGAAGGAUUUGAUCAUUGAUAGACCACCAAGGUUCAAUAGGGUGAAGUUGCCUAAGGGUCUGAAGCUUUCAAAGGGUGAAAUGAG
rnacentral:misc_RNA from 1 species